AUUCUCAAACUUUCAAUGGGUGAGAAGCCCGGCCUUUUUCCUUGAUUGAGGCCGCGGCAAUUGAUUUGAAUCUGAGCGCCCAGUGGGCCAUUUUUGGUAAGCAGAACUGGCGCUGUGGGAUGAACCAAACGCCCGGUUAAGGCGCCUAAACGACGCACAUUUCGGAUCNCACGAAAAGGAGUUGGUUGCUAAAGACAGCAGGACGGUGGCCAUGGAGGUCGGAAUCCGCUCAGGAGUGUGUAACAACUCACCUGCCGAAGCAACUAGCCCUUAAAAUGGGAGGCGCUAUAGCGUCGUGCCUAUACCGGGCCGUCGGUCGGCAGAGCGAAUAACGUCCGUGUCAGCUCGAAGAGAGCGACGGCGCUGAGGCCCCGACGAGUAGGGGGGUCGCGACGGUGAGCGUAGAAGGGUUGUGGGCGUGAGCCUGCCCGGAGCCGCCGUCGGUGCAGAUCUUGGUGGUAGUAGCAAAUACUCCAGAGGGAUCCUGGAGGACUGACGCGGAGAAGGGUUUCAUGUGAACAGUGGUUGGACAUGAGUCAGUCGAUCCUAAGCCGCAGGCGAAAGCCGACCUAGUGACGGGCGUGAUGUGUUGCAUCUAUCGUAUGAGUAACGGGCGUGGUUGUGGUUGAGUCGUGUGUGGGUGAUUCUUCUGUUGUGUGCGCGAAGAGAAAAUGUAAAGUUGCGGGGUCAAAGAAAACACAUGAAUAAGAAAGCUUGUGAGAAUGAUAGAAGGUUAAAGAAGUGUCUUUUUCUUUUUUGAUUUCUCUUAGCCGGUAUUUGAUUGUUUUUCUCCCGUCUCUUUUCUUUUCCUAGUACCGUUCAUCGCGUUAUGGCAUCGCAUGCUUCUUUCGCAGCGCCUUCGAAAAUAUGAAACCAUGUAUCGUAUAACGUGAGACGCCACCCAGGUUAAGGCGAAAGGGAAUCCGGUCCUGAUUCCGGAACCAGGCUGCGGCUACGUCCGCGAUAAAACGACUUUAACCCUCGUAAUGUCACGGUCGCGGA
rnacentral:ncRNA from 1 species